rnacentral:rRNA from 1 species
CGCCUUGCCAGCCCGCUCAGAAACUUAAAGGAAUUGACGGGGCCCGCACAAGCGGUGGAGCAUGUGGUUUAAUUCGAUGAUACGCGAGGAACCUUACCUGGGCUCGAACGUAAGAUGACUGUAGGUGAAAGCUUACAUCUCUUCGGAGCAUUUUACGAGGUGCUGCAUGGUUGUCGUCAGCUCGUGCCGUGAGGUGUCGGGUUAAGUCCCAUAACGAGCGCAACCCCUACCUUUAGUUGCCAUCAGGUAAUGCUGGGGACUCUAAAGGAACUGCCUACGCAAGUAGUGAGGAAGGCGGGGAUGACGUCAAAUCAGCACGGCCCUUACGUCCAGGGCUACACACGUGCUACAAUGGCCGAUACAGAGGGCAGCUACCUGGUGACAGGAUGCAAAUCUCCAAAGUCGGUCUCAGUUCGGAUCGGAGUCUGCAACCCGACUCCGUGAAGUUGGAUUCGCUAGUAAUCGCGCAUCAGCCAUGGCGCGGUGAAUACGUUCCCGGGCCUU